GUGUUCACUUUGGCAGCACGUGCUAAAAUUGGAACUAUUCAAAGAAGAUUAGCAUGGCCCCUAAGCAAGGGUGACAUGCAAAUUCAUGAAGUGUUCCAUAUUUUU
rnacentral:snRNA from 1 species